ACAAACAUAAAUUUCUUAUUUUGGUUCAAUUAGUGGAAAUAAGUCCAAUUUCUUGAUGGUUUGGUGUGGACAACUAUUUUUGGAAGCUUUUGAGUUAUAUGAAUCAAAUUUAUACUAACUUUUGGGUUUGAGUUUUGUGGGUGAAAACAUUCAGCAAGUAAUUGGGUACAAGAUUAAAAGCUAAAUACAUAAACCAAUUCAAGUGAGGAAUGGUGCAAACUGAUUAUGGUUUUGGCAUGUGCACUGUGGUUGAAAUUAUUGAAGUGGGACUUACCUAAUUUCAUAGUUUU
rnacentral:lncRNA from 1 species